AAAGUGCUAUAGGAAGAUUACAAUAAAGAGCACAGCCCAUGAACUGAGCUUCAUGAGUGAGAAGUCAAAGUUCAAAGAUAUUUUCUAUCGCUGAAAACAAAACAAACGAACAACAGACUCUGAAGCAGCAUAAUGACUGUUGGAAUAUUUUAGAAGUAUUUAUACAAUUUCAUGUGGGAAUCGUCUAUCCUUGAACAUAUUUUCCAGAAAGCAGGAGGCGUAUGUCACUUUCCAGGAUUACAUCCGGCUGGCAGGGGAGUUGGUGUCUGUCACUGGGGCUGUGAUUAUUCUGAUCAUAGAGAUCACAGACAUUUUCAGAGUCGGUGUGUCUCGCUAUUUUGGACAGACUAUCCUCGGGGGCCCAUUCCAUGUCAUCAUGAUCCACAAGCACCAGAGUAACAGAAGCGACCAGAAUCCUUUGGGAGCACUUCACAGUGUGGAACCCUUCAAAUCCUCAGGCAAGGAGGAGGAACAAGAACAGCUUUCUGAGAAACAGCCCUCUGGGAAUGAAAGGGGAGCUCUGGCCUGAGCUUCCCUGGCCCUCCCUGUCCAGGAACACAUCCCAGAGCAGCAGCAGUCACUAGGGCUGGGAGGUCCUUCGUCAAAACACACUGGGACACUGAGCCUUGGAUUGGGUAUUGGUGAGGGUAAGGGAGAGCAGGAGUCCCCUCUCUGAUGGGAUCUGCAUUAUUCUUGAGCGGACUCCAGGUAAGCCUGAGUUGGGGCCAGAGAGGCAGAUGCCUGCUUAUGCAAGCAUCUAAAUUUCAUGCCUGUUAAUCAUGGGAUAGUAUAGACAAUGUAAUUCCUAAAGGGUCUUAUCCUACCCUUCACAUCUGCAUCUCUGCACGUGAGAAAUAGUCACGUGUUGCGGUACAUUUCUUCGAGGUUUAUGGAAGCCUCACAUAUUUGCAAAAUCAGGUACUGAAUCUUUUUGCACAAAGUUAAACUUGGCAACCAAAGACAUGAGGAAUGGAUGCUAGAUUAAUACUGGACUAUCUCUCUUUAGCUCCAUGCAGACACCAAAACGUAAUAAUCUGUGAAUUCUGCAUGGGUCUCAGGACUUAAAGUAGGAAGAGUCAGGAAUGCCGUAGGGGUUGUGGCCUUUUUUCUUAUAUUAGCUCCUUGUAGGACAACACCUAACAACCAAACACCAGCUACACAACUGCAAGAAGAAAGGUUCCUAAUUCAUUUUUUUGUUUGUUUUGUCUUGUUCUAAUUAAUUAAGUAUGUUAGUACACUUUAGAUAUACAUAAUGGUUACAUUCACCAUCGGGAACGUGUACCUAUACAUUAUGUGUCUUGAUUCUUAUUUUUUCCACUUUCUUCUCCAUCUUUCUAUUCCUCUUUCCCUCCUUAUUUACAAGAGAUUUAUUUCCAUUUUUCAUUAUUUCUCAUUUUUUUCUUUACACUUACUUCCUUUCCACCUCCCCUUCCUAGCUCCCCUUCCCAUUUGAACAUUUCCUUCCUAAUGCUUGCCUUUUAAAUGGUUUUUUUUUUACUUUGUCAAAAUAUAUGUUAUAUAAAAAUAUGCUACUUUCACCACAUUGGGAUAUACAAUACAUUGGCACAAAAUACAUUCAUAUUACUAUACAGUGAUUACCAUUCUUCAUUUAUAGAGCUGUUUCAUCAGAAACCUAUACCCACACACGUAAACUGAUAACUUCCCCACUGUCCCACCCCCUAGUUCCUGAUUACCAAUACUGUACUUUGUCUUCAUUGUUUUGACUAUUUUCAGUACUUUACAUAAAUAGAAUUAUGCAGUGUUAGUCCCACUGUGUCUAGCUUAUUUCACUAAAUAUACCAGUCGCAAGCUUUCAUCCUUCUUGUAGCAGGUAUGCAAAUAGUUUUUGGUUAUUAUAGAUAUACACACAGAGACACACACAUAAAAAUAGACACAAUAAGUUUGUUUAUGCAUGCAUCAUAGGAUAUUUGAGUUCUUACUUAUACUGUUUGGCCAUUGUGAUUAAUGCUGCUAUAAAUGAAUGUAUAAACAUCUUUUUAAAUCCCUGCCUUCUGUUCUUUAGUGUAUAUACUUAGAAACCAAAUUGCUACAUCAUAGUGCAAUUCCAUGUUUGAGAAAAUUGCUAUAGUGUGUUCUACAGUUGGCUUCACUACUUCAUAUUCUAUUUAAUCUCAUGGUAGUUUGAUUCACUUUUCCUAAAGGAUUAAGGGUACUGAGCAUAUUUUCCUGGGCUUCCUUCUGGAAACUGACGUAUUUUUGAAACAUGCCUAAUAAAGUUCUUUCUUCAUUUUGAAUUGCUUGUUUUCUCUUUGUGUUUGUCAUUGAGUUACCUUAUCUUUG
ensembl:lincRNA